CAGACUUUCUGUUAGACAACUUUGGAUUUAUUCCAUUACAAUUUAAAUUUGUUUUUUCUUGUUGGAUUUUCAGUUGGACUAUAACCCCUUUGUUUUUUGUUUAAUUAAUUUUAUUUGCCUGCACUUGUGUCCUUUCCUUUUGUUUUUGCUCUCACAGCAUGGCAAAGGAGAAAAAAGACAACACCUUAUAGGGCAUGAAACUUUUUGUCCGUGGUGUUCAGGCCCCUGAGAUGUGUGAGCAGCUUCUCUUGAAUCCUCUGAGCCACUCUGGAUACUUUGGCCUCUGCACCUCGAAUGGGCUUACUUAUGGAGGGGUGUUAUAACUUCAGAGGAAGUUAAGAUUAAAGAUGGCAGUCUUCUUGGUGUGGAUGUCAAGACCCCUGGGUGACAUCAGAGCUGGGGACUGAGCUCAGCAGAGAAUAAUGUGAGUUCGCAGUGGGCUCAGGUGAUACUGCAAGCUGGAUAUUAAAGAGAGGAAAGAACCAUCAGAGGAAAUUCUUGGCUUUUCCAGUCUUCACCUCUGCUCUCUGCUUUUUACUCACGACGGCUGCAAACAUCUCCUGACAGAAAAUACCUACUUUUUACUUCCACAAGGUCCCUCUAUCCAGUGUGACAUUACAUUUGCUGUAAAAGCCAACAAAAAUGUUGUCUAUAUCCCAUACAUGGCAGAAAUCAGAGAGAACACCUAACCUUUGUGAGAGACUUCUGAAGUAUACUGUGUUUGAAUAUGUAAGUGUCUUUAUUCAGGAUAAAUUGUAGUAUAAGUAACUUUAACAUCCCUUCAUUUAAAAUAUUCUGGGAUUGAUAUACAUUAAAAUGCAAAUUUAAAACAUAAACUAUUUUCAUUACAUGUUUUACUGAGUAUUUGGCACAAGAUAUGGGCUGAGAUU